rnacentral:rRNA from 1 species
ACGGAGGGUGCAAGCGUUAUCCGGAUUCACUGGGUUUAAAGGGUGCGUAGGUGGGCAGAUAAGUCAGUGGUGAAAUCCCUGGGCUUAACCCAGAAACUGCCGUUGAUACUAUUUGUCUUGAAUAUCAUGGAGGUAAGCGGAAUAUGUCAUGUAGCGGUGAAAUGCUUAGAUAUGACAUAGAACACCGAUAGCGAAGGCAGCUUACUACAUGUUAAUUGACGCUGAGGCACGAAAGCGUGGGGAGCAAACAGGA